GAUGAACGCUGGCGGCGUGCCUAAUACAUGCAAGUCGAGCGAACAGACGAGGAGCUUGCUCCUCUGACGUUAGCGGCGGACGGGUGAGUAACACGUGGAUAACCUACCUAUAAGACUGGGAUAACUUCGGGAAACCGGAGCUAAUACCGGAUAAUAUAUUGAACCGCAUGGUUCAAUAGUGAAAGACGGUUUUGCUGUCACUUAUAGAUGGAUCCGCGCCGCAUUAGCUAGUUGGUAAGGUAACGGCUUACCAAGGCAACGAUGCGUAGCCGACCUGAGAGGGUGAUCGGCCACACUGGAACUGAGACACGGUCCAGACUCCUACGGGAGGCAGCAGUAGGGAAUCUUCCGCAAUGGGCGAAAGCCUGACGGAGCAACGCCGCGUGAGUGAUGAAGGUCUUCGGAUCGUAAAACUCUGUCAUUAGGGAAGAACAAAUGUGUAAGUAACUAUGCACGUCUUGACGGUACCUAAGCAGAAAGCCACGGCUAACUACGU
rnacentral:rRNA from 1 species